GCCUGGGUGGCUCAGUUGGUUAAGCAUCUGACUUCAGCUCAGGUCAUCAUCUCACAGUUUGUGGGUUUGAACCCCGUAUUAGGUU
rnacentral:tRNA from 1 species